rnacentral:tRNA from 1 species
GCCGCUGUUGGGGCUGGUGAUGUGCCUGAUCAUUUUCGGCAUGAUCGUGAACACGGCGGUGGGCACUAUGUUCUCGUUCCUUUCGCGGCUGUUGCC